AACAAGGCGUACCUGCGGACCUGCGGAGGGAUCAUUACCAGAGUGCCUUCAGGCUCUCCAACCCACUGUGAACAUACCUACGUUCCCCCGGCGGGCCCAGCGCGCGGCGGCUCCGGCCGCCCGCGUCCGCCGAGGGCAUCUCAAACCCGAAUUUAUUCGUGUCUUCUGAGGGGCGAAAGCCCGUAAAACAAAAUGAAUCAAAACUUUCAACAACGGAUCU
rnacentral:misc_RNA from 1 species